CCAUUUGUAGGAGGAAUAGUUUAUAGAGCUGAGACCAGGCAAGGGUCCUGAAAGAGCCAUCCUGUCAGACAUUGCCGCUCCAAUGAGGCAGAACUGUGAUGAACCAUUUCAUACUGUAUUGAGUGUUUCCUAAACUCCUGACCCACUGCUCAUAUCUAUCUCUUGCCUAACAGUCAUGGAGGGGACACUCACAACUAGAUAUUGACUAUGAGAGAGGAACUUGUACGAGACCCCAGCAAAGCAUCCAGUCUCUCUUGGUCCCACUUUGUCCACCUAGCAAAACUUCAUGGGGACUUCUGUCCCAGCCUGGCCUUUGAAUGCCUCACAUUCAGAAGUUGGAGAAAGUCACUUAGAAGAAAGAGCAUCAUGAUAGAGCCUUCUGUAAGGUAAAACU
rnacentral:lncRNA from 1 species